GAUGAACGCUGGCGGCGUGCCUAAUACAUGCAAGUCGAGCGAACAGACGAGGAGCUUGCUCCUCUGAUGUUAGCGGCGGACGGGUGAGUAACACGUGGAUAACCUACCUAUAAGACUGGGAUAACUUCGGGAAACCGGAGCUAAUACCGGAUAACAUGUUGAACCGCAUGGUUCAACAGUGAAAGACGGUCUUGCUGUCACUUAUCGAUGGAUCCGCGCCGCAUUAGCUAGUUGGUAAGGUAACGGCUUACCAAGGCAACGAUGCGUAGCCGACCUGAGAGGGUGAUCGGCCACACUGGAACUGAGACACGGUCCAGACUCCUACGGGAGGCAGCAGUAGGGAAGCUUCCGCAAUGGGCGAAAGCCUGACGGAGCAACGCCGCGUGAGUGAAGAAGGUCUUCGGAUCGUAAAACUCUGUUAUUAGGGAAGAACAAAUGUGUAAGUAACUAUGCACGUCUUGACGGUACCUAAUCAGAAAGCCACGGCUAACUACGUG
rnacentral:rRNA from 1 species